rnacentral:rRNA from 1 species
UGGUAGCAAUACUGAGCGAAGCUAGUGACGAACGGGUGCGUAACACAUGAGUCAUCUGCCCAGAAGUGGGGAAUAGCUCGGCGAAAGCCGGAUUAAUACCGCAUGUGGUCGUAAGACCAAAGCCGGGGCAACCUGGCGCUUUUGGAGGAGCUCGUGGCCUAUCAGCUAGUUGGUGAGGUAACGGCUUACCAAGGCAACGACGGGUAGCUGGUCUGAGAGGACGACCAGCCACACUGGAACUGAGAUACGGUCCAGACACCUACGGGUGGCAGCAGUCGAGAAUUUUUCUCAAUGGGGGAAACCCUGAAGGAGCGACGCCGCGUGGAGGAUGAAUGCUUUCGGGUUGUAAACUCCUGUCAUUUGGGAACAAGGCCUUACGUUAACUGCGUGGAGGAUUGAUAGUACCAGAAGAGGAAGAGACGGCUAACUCUGUGCCAGCAGCCGCGGUAAUACAGAGGUCUCGAGCGUUGUUCGGAUUCAUUGGGCGUAAAGGGCGCGUAGGCGGCGGGGUAAGUCUGGUGUGAAAUCUAGGAGCUCAACUCCUAAACUGCACUGGAUACUGCUCUGCUAGAGGACUGGAGAGGAGACUGGAAUUCACGGUGUAGCA